CCUACGGGUGGCAGCAGUGAGGAAUAUUGGUCAAUGGACGAGAGUCUGAACCAGCCAAGUAGCGUGAAGGAUGACUGCCCUAUGGGUUGUAAACUUCUUUUAUAUGAGAAUAAAAUGUUCCACGUGUGGGAUUUUGUAUGUACCAUAUGAAUAAGGAUCGGCUAACUCCGUGCCAGCAGCCGCGGUAAUACGGAGGAUCCGAGCGUUAUCCGGAUUUAUUGGGUUUAAAGGGUGCGUAGGUGGAUUGUUAAGUCAGUUGUGAAAGUUUGCGGCACAACCGUAAAAUUGCAGUUGAAACUGGCAGUCUUGAGUACAGUAGAGGUGGGCGGAAUUCGUGGUGUAGCGGUGAAAUGCUUAGAUAUCACGAAGAACUCCGAUUGCGAAGGCAGUUCACUGGACUGCAACUGACACUGAGGCUCGAAAGUGUGGGUAUCAAACAGGAUUAGAUACCCGAGUAGUC
rnacentral:rRNA from 1 species